CCCUGGCUACACCGGAGGCAUGGAGUCGCAAAGAGCUUCCCUCUUCUUCUUGCUGCUCUUGGUUUGCGUCCAGGUUCACAUCUCUAGGGGUGCAGAAGCCAGGCCACUUCCCUCUGCCAAACAAGAACGAUAUGUCCAAGUAUUGGAGUCACUGGGCCUGAACUGCAGGUGCUGCGACGGAGCAGGAGGCGAGUGCAGGAGCACCUGGGAUUCCACUUGUGCUAAAUUGGAUUGCCAUCCCUGGAAAUUCUAGUGUUCCUGGCAUCACAAGUUUGAUGAUUUCUUCAGCUUGUACACAUCACUUUCGAAGAGACUGUAAUUAAAAGCACCAAAUAAUACUGCAAAUCAUACUUCUAGUGAAAAAAAAAAGCAGAAUAAACGAGCAUCGAGUAGAUUGCAUGUAGACAGAGAAGAAAACUUUGUGAAUGCCAACACAAGUUCUCUAGAAUUGAUCUGUAUCACGACUAAUCUUUUAUCAUGCCUCUACUUAUGCAGAUCAUGAAAACUAUAGAAUUGAGGGUACGAUUGAAGAAAACCCAAUA